AGAGCGAACGCUGGCGGCAGGCCUAAUACAUGCAAGUCGAACGGCUCUUCGGAGCAGUGGCGGACGGGUGAGUAACGCGUGGGAAUGUGCCCUUUGGUACGGAACAACUGAGGGAAACUUCAGCUAAUACCGUAUGUGCCCUUCGGGGGAAAGAUUUAUUGCCAUUGGAGCAGCCCGCGUUGGAUUAGCUAGUUGGUGGGGUAAAGGCCCACCAAGGCGACGAUCCAUAGCUGGUCUGAGAGGAUGAUCAGCCACACUGGGACUGAGACACGGCCCAGACUCCUACGGGAGGCAGCAGUAGGAAUCUGCGCAAGUGGGCGAAAGCCUAGACGCAGCCAUGCCGCGUGAAUGAUGAAGGUCGUUAGGAUUAGUAAAAUUCUUUACGAACCGGGGAAGUAAUAAUAGGUACGGUACCCGGAAGAAACGAACGACCCGGACUAACUUCGUCGCCAGCAGCCGC
rnacentral:rRNA from 1 species